UGAGGAUCAGAAAUGUUACUGAGAAACUGUGCUAUGUAUAUGUAACUUCCUAAAGGAAUUGAAGAUAACCAGAACUUACUAAUACUGAGAUUCCUU
rfam:Glycine soja cultivar W05 scaffold9211_3, whole genome shotgun sequence.